rnacentral:lncRNA from 1 species
GCGGUGACGGUGACAACAGCCCCACGAUGACCCCGAGGGACAACACCCGGCGCUUCGCGUCACCCGCGCCGAUGUCACCCUUCGAGCGUCACCCAUUUGUCACCCGUUUCAUUGUCACCAUUUUGUCACCCCUUCAGUGUCACCCUACUACCAUCACCCGCUUGUCACCCUUUCGGUGUCACCAUUUUGUCACCCUUUCAGUGUCACCCUUCUACCGUCACCCGCUUGUCACCCUUUCGGUGUCACCAUUUUGUCACCCGUUUCGCGACCACCAUUUUGUCACCAUUUUGGUGUCACCAUUUUGUCACCCUUUCCGUGUCACCCUUUCAGUGUCACCCAUUUGUCACCAUUUUGUCACCCCUUCCAUGUCACCCUUCUACCGUUACCCGCUUGUCACCCUUUCGGUGGCACCCUUUUCCUGUCACCCGUUUCAGUGUCACCAUUUUGUCACCCCUUCAGUGUCACCCUUCUACUGUCACCCGCUUGUCACCCUUUCGGUGUCACCAUUUUGUCACCCCUUCAGUGUCACCCUUCUACCGUCACCCACUUGUCACCUUUUCGGUGUCACCGUUUUCCUGUCACCCAUUUCAGUGUCACCAUUUUG